ensembl:lncRNA
AAAAUUUGUUUUUCGUUUGUGUUUUGUUUUAAUAGUUGUACUGUGUAAUUCAUAAUAAAUGGCAAUUUAUAAAGAAACUGUCAGUGCAGUAUAGAUUUUCACAAUGGAUUAUCAUCACUCCAGAUGCUGGCUCCCCUCUCCUCUUCAAAUGGACCCUUCUGUAUCUUCCGAAUCUGAGUCACAAACCUCAACCUGCCUUGCAAGGAAUGUUCCAUCACUGCAGCCCAGGGGAAAUUUGUCCUGUUAUUUUUCCAUUGCAUCUCACACUGCUGACAUCUGCGAGGGAAAUUGGUGGGCUGUUUCUGCUCCUCCUCUUUCUCCGACCUCCUUGAUCCCCCCUGAGAGACUGAGAUCUGGGAUGAAGAACUCUUUGCUUCCCCCUGCUGGAGCUCCUGCUCCAGCUUCUGUGUUUUUCUUCCCUGGUGGUUUAAUGUGUCAAGAGCAUUCCAGUUCUAAAUGUGUGUCACAGCUGUUAUUCAUUUCUGUAUUAAAAGGCCAAAAAAGUAUUCACUACUUGAAAAUGAAGUAACUAUACGAGGGGUUUACCGCAGUACUUGUAGCAUUUUGGACCCUGCUGUCGACCAAACCAGAUCUUCUUGUGAAAACUGGAGACCUAGUACACAUAUCACAUACGUAAACAUUUUGUGUCAAAUGUCAAUAAAAUCUG